GCAUUGGUGGUAUAGUGGUUCGAAUUCAAUCCUCCCAAGAUUGAGACCCGGGUUCGAUUCCCGGCCAAUGCA